UUAUGUUCAGACCGAAAAUUUCAAAGAUUAGAUUACAUUUAAUCAUUUCAUAACCCAACAGUGUUCUCACUGCCGUUAGAAAGAUCAAAAAACAGCUGUUAUUGCCAUUCAUGAAGUCACAUCGCUUAAUAUUUAUCAAAAGAAAACAUUGUCAUAUAGUAUUUUGUAAUAAAAGCCGUCUUUUUUUCAAAUAUUUUCCAUAUAAUAGAAAUAGUGGAUGCAUUUUUUCAUUUGUUAAGUCGAUUUUCAGGUGAAAUUAGAUUCAUUGCUUUAAAAAAAUUUGUUUGUUUACAUUUUUUCCCCUUUGUAGUGUCUAAAUCAGCUGUGAUAAUGUAACAGAUUUCAAAUGUUGACAAAUAGAUGGCGCAAAAUCAGAGUCGCACAGAGAGAUUUUGCGUGGAUCAGUUUCAAAUCAUUUCAAUGAAGUGAUCUGGAACUGUCAUUUUUGUAUGGCGAAAUCUUGAUAAUUUUUUAAGAUUAGUGGGAUAAUCUAUUCAACAGCCGAAAUCGUGUGAUUAAGUGUCGGUCUGAACAUAGUAUAAGAAACCUUUGCUUUGUUUACAUACAUUUACUCAACUCUAGAAAAUCUUAGGGUAUUGUGUAACACUUUUUUUGCUACUUUCGUGGUAAUUAGGGUGUUGUGUUAGCAUUUAAGCUACAAAUAAAUUUUAAAGUAUGAUGAGCAGCACUCUAAUACUUGUAGAUAUUAUACCGUGACGUCACCAGGCCGGAGUGCAGCUGGCCAAGCUGACCUCGGGUCCUCAGACAGUCGUGUUUAUUGCCCUACAAUAAACAAACCUAUGUGAAACCCUAGUACCCAACAAUCAUCAGAGUGGUCAAAAAAAAAUAUUAUUAUUGAAACUGGACAUCACCAAGAUCAGCUCAUUACAGGACAUACUAUUGAUGUUAUAGUAAAUAAUAAUAAUAACGAACGUCAAAAACGGCACAGAGAGCGGAACAUAGAAAAAUUGAAACAGCGUGAAGCGGAGAGAAGGAAACGUAUACAAUGUUCUCAAAGUAUUGCCGGACCAUCUAUGUACUUCUUCAGACACAAAUAUAUUGAAAAUGAGUAAUGAAGAAAUAAACAUAACAGCUGCUUUUCAAAAAAAAAAGAGAAUGUCAGCAAAGAUAUAGGGAGCGAAAUAGAGAAAAAUUGAAGGAGCGUGAACCAGAAAGAAGAAGACGUCUAAAAGAUGCAGAACUGAUCACAGAGUUAUCAAUUUCUCUGAAUUUAGGAUUUGCAAAAAUAAUUACCAAUGAACCAAUAAUAACAAGAGAUGAAAAAAGUACGGAUUCUCAAAAUAUAGAAAUGCAACAUGUAGUUGUUGAAGUACUCGUAUCUCAGCAAAAUGGAAGAGGUCAAGCAAGCGCCAACGUAACAGACCAACAGACCAACCAAAUAACUAUAAUCAAUUUAGAUACCACAAAUCAGCUCAUGAAUAUUUUGAGAAGAACUUCAAAAAUAAUGAAUUUUGGCAUGCUUGCACGGUUUGCGAUCGACUAUGGCUUAAAAUAAUUCUAAACGACUUAAAGCCGAGUCGAGCGGAAAUUCGCGUGUUGCGUAAAUGGGAAAAUGCGCUCGGCUCGGCUUCAAGCGUUCAAGGCCUUGUUACACGUAACGAGUACAGUGGCGAGACAGUAACUCGGCCGAGUGCUCGCUUCGUUUAAACAGUAAGGCGAGUAAUGAACCGAGUCAGUGGGCGAGUAUAGUGGCGAGAGAGUCACUAGAAUCACAUUUUGUUUACUAGGCCGAGUGCUUCUUUUUUUUCACUCUUUUGCCCCUUCUGAGCUAAUCACUGACUCGCUCGUUGCAUGUGAACACGCGUUCGGUCUUCACUCGCCACUCGGUCGAUUUUUAUGUUGUGUAUGUUCAGAUUUCUGAACAGUUCUUAACGGCUACAAUUGUAAAGAAGAUAUUUUUGUAAAGAUACAAUUGUCAUAGUUCAAAUAUUUAUGUUCAUGAAUCUAGUCUUAAACGUAGAUAUCUAUUUACAAAUACCCAUUUCUAUCAACAAUGUAAUAAAUGUUCAUUUCGGGUAUAUUGAUUAGUGACCUUAGUAUUUAAUGUAUGCAAGGUAGAACUUCAUUAAAAACUCUUUUAAAAUGUCUUUUUCUACCAAACAUUGUAAAUAAAACUUUGCAAAACUUCACUGUCUAACUAGAUGAACAAAAUACGUGUAAACCUCUACUCGCCAACGCAACUCUCUCGGCCGAGUCACUGUCUCGCCACUGUACUCGUUACGUGUGAUCAAGGCAUCACUCUGCAGGCACCCUAACGGACAAGAUGCAGAUACAGUCCAGAAAUUCAUGUCUCUCAAACACCCAUUGGCGAUAUGUGUGCUUCACAUGUUAAAUUAGAAGAAGGAAGUCAAUUAAUUAUGAUUGUUGUGUACAUUUCACCUAAUAAAAAAAAUUAUAUUAUUUCAUUUUUACAUGAGUGGUUAUUUCCGUACAGUCGCAGAGGUUCAAUAAUUUUUAAAACAGAUAAAGAUAAACUACCAUUGAUUUUGGCUGGGGAUUUCAAUGUUAAUUUUGCAAAAAAAUAAUCAAUGCCAUUAAUAUCGUUCCUCCAAGAAGAAUUUCAGUUGGAAAUAAACAACAAUCCGAGAGAAUGUACUACAAGAUAUGGAACAACAACAGAUGCUGUAUUUAUUAGACGUCUGUCUGUGAUGUCUAAUACUUUUGUAACAUACUUCAGUAAUCAUCGACCAAUUGUCACAGUAAUACCAUCAGUGGCAACUUCGAAUGUAAUUAUUACGGAAGUCACUAAUGAAACUAAUUGAGUUGACGUGAUUUUUAACAAAUAUUUGCAUAAAAUUUUGUAUACAAAGAAAAUAAAUGUUUAUUGAAUAAACUAUCUAUCAUCAUUAUCUGGAAAAAAUGCAUAUUAUUGUGUACCAUAUUUAGUUCCUUUCAUAAUCGAUCUUUCACAUCUGCCAGCUGCUAACUAACAGCUCACUCUUUUUUUCGUUUUUUAAACUGUGUUUUUUAAUAGUUAGUUAUUCUAUUUCGGUUCGUUAUUAGGGUCCGUUUGUUCAACAUAUUUAUUUUCUUUAAAUGGAUUUUCUAAUUAUCCUUUCAAAAGAGAACCCUUUCUGUAUCUAGUGUCAAUGUUGUAUUCGUGUCGGUCAUCAUUUAUUUUUUGUUUUUUUAUUUUUUGCGUGUCCAGUGUUGGUUGUCAGGCGUAUAAGAAAUAUGUAAGCAAGUGUCUCUCCAGUAGUUUCAUGCAUGGUUUUAUGAUUGUAUAUGUAAAGAAUAUUUUCCAUUUUGCCUACUUUAAGUUCAUUGUCAUUGGAGCAAUUGAUUAUGCGAAUUUUUUUAUUUGUUGCUUUGUGCAGUCUCCCAACAUUUUCCACAACCGUCUUUGCUAUAUUUAGUUGUAAUUCAAUGCCCUCGCCUUUUAGUCAUCGCUUAAGAGAAAGACUAGAUAA